rnacentral:tRNA from 1 species
GCGGGGGUCGCCAAGCCCGGUCAACGGCGUGAGAUCAUGUUCUGACACGAUGCUCAGAUGUUAUAAUGACUGGGAUACCUCAUCCCUUAGGGGUUCGUGGGUUCAAAUCCCACCCCCCGCA